UGACCCAUUUUGUAAAAUAGUUGAUGGCCACCAAAAAAAAUUUAUGCUGACCUAAUGCGAGAAGGAAAGACCAAGGAUGUCCAUCCGCCACUGAGCAAAUGACCACGGGGUGCUGAUGGGAGUCAGAAGUAUUAUCGGUUGAUGUUCAAUAUUGAAAAUUCUUUGGCACCGAUCGUACUUCUUGACGAAGCUGCCUGCAUCUUGC
rnacentral:lncRNA from 1 species